AACGAAUUAAGUUCUUAACCCGAGGUACGACUGUAUAGAAUUACCAAGCAUGUAGAAGAACAAGUCUUGCUGAAGAAGAAUCAGCAUGACUUUCCUUUUAGAGUUCUCUGGAAGUGUUGGCAAAUAUGUGGAUGGGACUGAUCAGGUAGAAAAUGCUUUGACUCUCAAAAAUAUCCCUCACCUAUCAACUGUCCCUCACCUAUCAACUGUAACUCACCUAUCAACUGUCCCUCACCUAUCAACUGUAACUAACCCAUGUUGUAUCAGGAAAUUCCAUCACAAUCCCUGUUCUGUCAGGCAGAGUGACUGUUACAUAGGAGCAUAGUGUGGGUUGCCAGCGCCCGGGGUGGGGAUUUCUGAGGACAUUUAUGGAUUCUCAGUAAAGAGAUACCUUUGAAAUUCCUUCCUUCAUGGGCAUCUUACAAUGUAGAAGUGUUUAUCCUACAGCAGUGAGUAAUGAGAUAUCCUCCCAGAAUAGCAACUGUUUCCCUUGUUUAUUCCAUUAGGAAUCAGCAACUGGCUAAGUGCCUUUUUCCUAACAAGAGGUAGCAGAUUUACAUGACGAAAAGUCAUUACAUACUUCCUGGGUGGGGAAGAGCCAGCGGGAGAGAGAGAAGGAAAAUAUCCCAAGAAUGUGCUCAGUGCUUUUCAAAAUGCAUCAGAUUGUUUAGUGGCCAAAGGAAGAGAAACGUUUUCUUGUAAUAUGUAUUUAAGGUUGAGUGCAAAGUCUAAAUUAUGAAUGAACAAUAUAGAAGGCAAAUAUUGCUCCUCCACUUUAGUUCCAUUCCCUGUCAUUCAAAAUUACAUUUGAAGGGGUUAGUCCAAGUUCUGUUAUUAGUUGAUUUGAAAUCAUUGCUAAGAGUGGAGAAAAAGAGUGGUUGAAGUUGCUCGUGAUUCAAGGCGCACAAAAUCACUUUGGUGAGAAUCCUUAGAACCUAGUCUGUUACUGACUGCGAAACAUCAACAGCAAUUACCCAUUACCUUUACCCAACAAAUAAAGUUAUUUCAGAGAGAAAAGAUACUGAGAGUUGUGAAAAUUACGUUGAAUUACAUUCAAGGAAAAUAGUACCUGUCUCUAUAUUGCAGUUUACAAUGU